GGAGAGGUGGCCGAGCUGGCUGAAGGCGCUCGCCUGCUAAGCGAGUGUGGGGCCAAAACCUCACCGCGGGUUCGAAUCCCGCCCUCUCCG
rnacentral:tRNA from 1 species